rnacentral:rRNA from 1 species
AACGCGAAGAACCUUACCUACUCUUGACAUCCAGAGAAUUCGCUAGAGAUAGCUUAGUGCCUUCGGGAACUCUGAGACAGGUGCUGCAUGGCUGUCGUCAGCUCGUGUUGUGAAAUGUUGGGUUAAGUCCCGCAACGAGCGCAACCCUUAUCCUUUGUUGCCAGCACGUAAUGGUGGGAACUCAAAGGAGACUGCCGGUGAUAAACCGGAGGAAGGUGGGGAUGACGUCAAGUCAUCAUGGCCCUUACGAGUAGGGCUACACACGUGCUACAAUGGCAUAUACAAAGAGAAGCAAACUCGCGAGAGCAAGCGGACCUCAUAAAGUAUGUCGUAGUCCGGAUUGGAGUCUGCAACUCGACUCCAUGAAGUCGGAAUCGCUAGUAAUCGUAGAUCAGAAUGCUACGGUGAAUACGUUCCCGGGCCUUGUACACACCG